CGAGGGUCAUGGCGGUGAGAAGGAUGAGGCUUCCAUAGAUGCCUACGAAAUAGGCCCCGGUCAUGAUCUUACAGGCAACAUCUCCAAAGACCCAGUGAUGAAGAAGCUCCACGCACCAGAAAGGCAAUGUGAGUGUGAACAGAAGGUCAAAAAGAGCCAAACAGAACAUGAAAAGGUUGGUGGCCCUGUUCAGGUCUUCGUAGCAGGUGAACGCAAACACGAGGAGGCCAUUUCCCAGCAUGCUGAGGCAGAAGAUUGUGGCGUAGCACACGCCGGUCGUUUUUUCAUAGUAAUCGACCUCACACAUU